rnacentral:lncRNA from 1 species
AAUAUUUAAAAAGCAGUGCCUUGAACUGUACUCCCAGCAAAACAUAAGGAUUGAAACUUUCAGGAAAUCUGUAAAAUAUUUCUAUGUAAGAUUAGAAAUCACUGCAAAAUAGAAGGGGAGUGUUACAAAAGACAUGUAUAUUUUGCAACCUGAAAAUACUACAGUGUCAGUAAAGACAUUUGGCCUGCGAAUUCAACCUGCACUGAAUUGAGCAGUUAAGUGUUUCCUUCCCAGGAGGUUAACAUUCCUCAUUACAUAAGCAGUGGUAGUUAUUGGAAACAUCACCUUCACCUUUCUUUUUUUCCUCUCUUUACCUUGUA